CUGUAAUCCCAGCUACUUGGGAGGCUGAGGCAGGAGAAUCACUUGAACCUGGCAGGCAGAGGUUGCAGUGAGCCGAUAUCGUGCCACUGCACUCCAUUCUGGGUGACAGAGUGAGACCCUGUCCAAAAGAUAUAUAUAAAGAAAAAAAAAUUACCAAAUUGUUUUUCAAGUGGUUGUCAACCAGGAAUACAGAGAGCCUCAUUCUGAGAAGGAAAACUAGAGGUUUGUUUUUUAAGUAAAAUUAUGUUUUUUUUUAUUAUUUUAAAAAAUGGAUCUAAAUAAUAGAUGAGUACAGUCUUACUUUAAGACAUUCAAUCAUUCAAAUAAGAGGGAAAGAAGUGUCCGUCCUCACUUCCAACACCCUGCCUCCUGGGUAACUUACAGCUUCCUUGGAAGGAGCUUGCCUAGAGCACCUGGGGAGAAGCCGUUGCUGGCUGUAGUGCCUGGGUCAACAGAAUAGAAGGGAGGCAGGAGGGGACUGCACAGGAGCCAGCUGGGCUUGUCACAGUUCCUGCUGGUGUGCUUGCUAUGAAAGGAUUUAUUUUUAGUAUUUGGGAAUAAUUAUGUUUAAAGAAGGUUAUUUAAAAACAGAUAUUCUUUCCCCUAGAGUGUACAGUGUUUGAUAUACACAGGUGGAUUCUUGCUUCUUGUGUGCAUUUUUCUAGACUCCAUUAAGACCAUAGCCCUUUGAGUACAACUCAUAAGAGGUUUAUGCUUUACAUCUCUACAUUCCAGUUACAUCUUCCUGGGGAUACAGCCUACAUGGAAGUUCAGCAAAUAUCUGGUCUAUUCCACACCUGUAAGAUAUGGCUUUGCUUCCUUUUUACCUGUAUGAUGUUUUGAUCGGUUGGCUUGACAUGGAGAGCAAGAACUAUCACCCAUAGCCCGGAGAGGCGGAAACCUACCUGUGGGGCUGCCACGCAGAGCUGUACAAGUUGUGCCCUGCUCAAGGAUGCAAGCUGAUGGGACAAAUGGGGCCUGAAAUCCAGCUCGCUGUCACUCAGCAUGUGUCUUUAUGCACAUCAGAACCCAGCCAGUCUGCCUGUAGAAUUCUUAACUACACACCAUAU
rnacentral:lncRNA from 1 species